rnacentral:rRNA from 1 species
GACAGAGGGUGCAAGCGUUAUCCGGAAUGAUUGGGCGUAAAGCGUGCGCAGGCGGUUCGUCGUGUCUGAUGUGAAAGCCCCGGGCUCAACCUGGGAAUGGCAUUGGAAACUGGCGGACUCGAGUGUGGCAGAGGGGGGUGGAAUUCCGCGUGUAGCAGUGAAAUGCGUAGAGAUGCGGAGGAACACCGAUGGCGAAGGCAGCCCCCUGGGCUAACACUGACGCUCAGGCACGAAAGCGUGGGGAGCAAACAGG